rnacentral:tRNA from 1 species
AUUUAAGUAGUUUAUAAAAAAAAUAUUGAUUUGUGGUAUCAAUGAAGCAUCAAAAUGCCUUAGAUU